rnacentral:rRNA from 1 species
AUGCUGCUGAUGGCCGCGCCCGCCGCCGCCGACGAGCACCAGAGGGGGCGCCGGGGACGGCCGCCGCGCGCCGAUCUGCUCCUCAACUGCGACCUGCCCCCUCCGGCCAAGCUCUUCGGCCCGCUCCCGGCUCUGCACCUGCAGAGGGCGGGCCGGACCGACGAGAAGGGUAACGGCGACGGCAAGGACAGCCUGCUGCGGGCGCUGCGGCUGUCGCAGUCGCGGGCGCGGGAGGCGGAGGAGAAGCUGGCCGCCGCGGCCGCGCGCAGCGGAGGCCUCGCGGCGCUGCUCGUGCGCGACGCGGUGGCGCUCUCGGCGCACCGCCGGUGGGUGAUGAUGCUGGAGGCCGAGAACUCCGCGCUCAGGGCAGGAGGAGGAGGAGGAGGAGCCGCCGGCGCGGAGCCCGAGGAGGAGGAGGAGGAUGGCGCGGGGGCCGCCGCGUGGUGGGUCGCGCUGGCGGUCUGCGUCGGCCUCGCCCUCGGCAACCUCCUGCUCUGA